UACGGGGGGAGCAAGCGUUGUUCGGAUUUACUGGGCGUAAAGGGCGCGUAGGCGGCGCCGCAAGUCGACUGUGAAAUCUCCGGGCUUAACCCGGAAAGGUCAGCCGAUACUGCGGGGCUAGAGUGCAGAAGGGCAACUGGAAUUCUCGGUGUAGCGGUGAAAUGCGUAGAUAUCGAGAGGAACACCUGCGGCGAAGGCGGGUUGCUGGGCUGACACUGACGCUG
rnacentral:rRNA from 1 species